GGGUGAGUAACACGUGGAUAACAUACCUAUAAGACUGGGAUAACUUCGGGAAACCGGAGCUAAUACCGGAUAAUAUAUUGAACCGCAUGGUUCAAUAGUGAAAGACGGUUUUGCUGUCACUUAUAGAUGGAUCCGCGCCGCAUUAGCUAGUUGGUAAGGUAACGGCUUACCAAGGCGACGAUGCGUAGCCGACCUGAGAGGGUGAUCGGCCACACUGGAACUGAGACACGGUCCAG
rnacentral:rRNA from 1 species